rnacentral:rRNA from 1 species
CGGCGGACGGGUGAGUAACACGUGGAUAACCUACCUAUAAGACUGGGAUAACUUCGGGAAACCGGAGCUAAUACCGGAUAAUAUAUUGAACCGCAUGGUUCAAUAGUGAAAGGCGGCUUUGCUGUCACUUAUAGAUGGAUCCGCGCCGUAUUAGCUAGUUGGUAAGGUAACGGCUUACCAAGGCAACGAUGCGUAGCCGACCUGAGAGGGUGAUCGGCCACACUGGAACUGAGACACGGUCCAG